GACGAACGCUGGCGGCGUGCCUAAUACAUGCAAGUCGAACGCUGAAGGAGGAGCUUGCUUCUCUGGAUGAGUUGCGAACGGGUGAGUAACGCGUAGGUAACCUGCCUGGUAGCGGGGGAUAACUCUUGGAAACGAUAGCUAAUACCGCAUAAUAGUAGAUGUUGCAUAACAUUUGCUUAAAAGAUGCAAUUUCAUCACUACCAGAUGGACCUGCGUUGUAUUAGCUAGUUGGUGGGGUAACGGCUCACCAAGGCGACGAUACAUAGCCGACCUGGGAGGGGGAUCGGCCACACUGGGACUGAGACACGGCCCAGACUCCUACGGGAGGCAGCAGUAGGGAAUCUUCGGGAAUGGACGGAAGGCUGACCGAGCAACGCCGCGGGAGGGAAGAAGGUUUUCGGAUCGUAAAGCUCUGUUGUAAGAGAAGAAAGAGUGUGAGAGUGGAAAGUUCACACUGUGACGGUAUCUUAUCAGAAAGGGACGGCUAACUACGUG
rnacentral:rRNA from 1 species